AGAGCAAAAAAAACAAGGCAUCAGUAUUGUUGAGUAUUAGCUUGUACCUGGUUCGGAGGCUAAAUUCCAGGUCAGCCUAUGGGGCACUGUGGUUUGCCGGAGAAGGCAGGGGUGAGCCACGGUGGCUGCCCGGCUGUGCACCGGCGCCGGAGUUUGGACCAAGACAAAGACAGGAGCUGUCCGCGGUGCUGAAUCGGCGGCGCCGUCGCCGGAGCAAGGGGGCUUCUGUAACCAGCCCUCUGCUCAUUUACUCCCCAUCCUUCUAGCUCCCCUUCGCUCUGUGACUCUUGCCUUCCCCUGAAUUUAUUUCCCUUUUGGGGGACUCACCUUAGAACCUGCGCCCUGUACACAGGUGUAUAUACAUAUAUCAAAGAACAAAACGAUUGAUUGAAAA
rnacentral:lncRNA from 1 species